rnacentral:rRNA from 1 species
UACGUAGGGACCGAGCGUUGUCCGGAUUCAUUGGGCGUAAAGAGCUCGUAGGCGGCCACUCAAGUCGAAUGUGAAACCUCGAGGCUUAACCUCGAGCCUGCAUUCGAUACUGGGCGGCUAGAGUCUGGUAGGGGGAUCGUGGAAUUCCUGGUGUAGCGGUGGAAUGCGCAGAGUAUCAGGAAGAACACCCGUGGCGAAGGCGGCUCUCUGGGACGGUACUGACGCUGAGACGCGAAAGCGUGGGGAGCGAACAGG